CACGUAGGGCGCAAGCGUUGUCCGGAAUUAUUGGGCGUAAAGAGCUCGUAGGCGGUCUGUUGCGUCCGCUGUGAAAACUCGGGGCUUAACCCCGAGCCUGCAGUGGAUACGGGCAGACUAGAGGUAUUCAGGGGGAGAACGGAAUUCCUGGUGUAGCGGUGAAAUGCGCAGAUAUCAGGAGGAACACCGGUGGCGAAGGCGGUUCUCUGGGAAUGUCCUGACGCUGAGGAGCGAAAGUGUGGGGAGCGAACAGG
rnacentral:rRNA from 1 species